AUUGUUUUUGAUUUCUUUCCCUUAUUUAUUGUUUUAAUUUUCUAGGUAUUCUCUUUUGAACGGGAGAGUUGUGUGUCACCCUAGAUCCCCAGAAACACACCCUACUUGUACGGGCAGGAUCCAACUCAGACUUGAUGAAGCAACUGAUCUUCAGCUGGCUGGCCUAAUGUUAUUGAAAAAGAGCAUGUUGUCUUCGGUGACAAGCAUGUGACUGGUAAAGGAAGCAGGGAAGUGGCAUGGAGAGCACAACUCAGAGUUUCCCACCACUUUGCAAAGUAAGUGAUUAGAUGUAGUUCAGCAUUUACAAAUCUCACUCCCCUGUGUACAUCUGUGGCCUCCAAUUAAAUUGAAAGUUUCAUUCUUAGAGAACUCCAAAUGUGGACCCAUCAGCAGCAUUUAGGUUCGUGUUCUUGUAUUCAAAAUACCAUUUUAUGUGGUAGUGAGUAAAAAUGAGAUAGAAUGAUGAGAUGGAUCUACUAAAAGUCUGUCCUAAAAACCACCAGAACUUUCUCUAAACACAGUCCCUCAGUCUUGUUUUUAUUACAUUGGAGAAACCACAGUUUGAGUUCCCAAUUAUUGCUGCAAGGUGGAUGAUAAAGGAUCACAGUACAAACAAUUUUUAAACAUUUGG
rnacentral:lncRNA from 1 species